UACGGAGGGGGCUAGCGUUGUUCGGAAUUACUGGGCGUAAAGCGCACGUAGGCGGCUUUGCAAGUUAGAGGUGAAAGCCCGGGGCUCAACUCCGGAAUUGCCUUUAAAACUGCAUCGCUAGAAUUGUGGAGAGGUAAGUGGAAUUCCGAGUGUAGAGGUGAAAUUCGUAGAUAUUCGGAAGAACACCAGUGGCGAAGGCGACUUACUGGACACAUAUUGACGCUGAGGAGCGAAAAGCGUGGGGGAGCGAAACAGG
rnacentral:rRNA from 1 species